rnacentral:misc_RNA from 1 species
GAGGUUUAUCCUCUUAACUCUAAGGCAUGUUCAGAGAUUAAACUUACCUGCUUUAAUAGAGAGAACAGCAUCACGCUUUAAUUCAUUAAUUGUCUAUCAAUUGUCGUUAAGCAAAAAGUGGACACUGCCUUCAUAUAGGGAUUUUAACAAUGGAUGUCAUGGUGCAUACUGCAAAAGAAAUUGAGGAAUCUAAAUUAAUGGAAUUUGAGG